CUGAUUCAUUUCUGGUUUAGCGUCCAUGGAGAAUACAUGCGUCAUUUAAUUCUUGUUAAAAUUACAAUCCUGAUGUCGUGUGGUUUUACCUGGAAUUUAGCCUACGUUUUUCAUUUUGUGCUUUACAACUUUAAAGUAAACUCAUACUUAGUUGAAGGUCUCAGAACUGUGCCUGAUGUGCUGUGAUGGCCACAUGACCCUUUUUGUGACAGAAUGCAAUGCCACAAAUGUUUUGUUGCCACUGUAAAUAAAAGAUCUUAAGUGUCGCUCCUGUGUUGAUGAAUUGCUAGCUUACAUGUAAGAAGUAAAAGGAAGUUCAAGA